rfam:Zea mays cultivar B73 chromosome 9, whole genome shotgun sequence.
ACUCUAGUAUUGACCCCAAUCCACAUGUGUUGAGGUGGAUUGGGGUGUAACUCAAACUAAAUUACACCCCAAUCCACCUCAACACAUGUGGAUUGGGGUCAAUACUAGA